AGAUCACACUAAAACAGCACUGCUCUCAGGCAGUGUUUUGUUUUGGUGGUGAGUAAGGUGGCCAGAGCCUCUGGAAAGGAUCAGGGUUAUGCUCAGCAACGUGCUUGGGAUGCUUCUGGUUUUGCAAAAUAAUUAAUGAAAGAGGCGGCUAAGGUAAAACACAGUUCCACUACCACAUUGGAACUUAAGAAGUCGAUCGAUGGUGGAAGAACCAUCCAACUGCUGGCUUUAAAAUACACAUGUCGAAGACGGGAAAUUAACGGACGGGAAAGAAUUGGCAUAACGAUUGAAUUGGGAAAUGCUGAGUGGCAUUUACGGCAUAAUCACGGAAGAUAGCUGGCCUUAUUGAAUGAAGUUAUAAUAUCUAAUACAACGUAUUUAUAGUUAAAACAAUUCGAAGAAACCUAACCAAGCAAGAAAGUAAAAAGUAAAUAUAAAUAAAUGAUUCUUUUAAGUCUUGUUGCAGUUGUUUUUGUUGUUAUACCAGUAGUGGGCG
rnacentral:misc_RNA from 1 species